rnacentral:rRNA from 1 species
GAUGAACGCUGGCGGCGUGCCUAAUACAUGCAAGUCGAGCGAACAGACGAGGAUCUUGCUCUUCUGACGUUAGCGGCGGACGGGUGAGUAACACGUGGAUAACCUAUCUAUAAGACUUGGAUUACUUCGGGAAACCGGAGCUAAUACCGGAUAAUAUAUUGAACCGCAUGGUGCAAUAGUGAAAGACGGUUUUGCGGUCACUUAUAGAUGGAUCCGCGCCGUAUUAGCUAGUUGGUUAGGUAACGGCUUACCAAGGCAACGAUGCGUAGCCGACCUGAGAGGGUGAUCGGCCACACUGGAACUGAGACACGGUCCAGACUCCUACGGGAGGCAGCAGUAGGGAAUCUUCCGAAAUGGGCGAAAGCCUGACGGAGCAACGCCGCGUGAGUGAUGAAGGCCUUCGGAUCGUAAAACUCUGUUAUUAGGGAAGAACAAAUGUGUAAGUAACUAUGCACGUCUUGACGGUACCUAAUCAGAAAGCCACGGCUAACUACGUG